CAGAAAAGGAAAGAAAGGUACCUUAUGGCACAAUUUAGCUGGUUCUUGCAUGCAUUAUACAGAGAAAGACAUUUCGCCAACUAUGGUGAGGAGGUGGUAUUUUCUGGCUCUGGACUGUGGCCUGGGCAGUGUGUCGGUGGUCUCUGGCGGGAAGCAACCAGCUCACGGCAGGGCUCUGCUGUAUCUGCAGCACUGGCUGUGGAUGGGUCCUUCACUCCUGGAAGGACCUGUUGUACCGUCUCGGAGAAGAUGCAGGGUGGGCAGCCGUGAGAGAAGCAGGGCAGUUGGCAGGGACGGGGCUGACUUCCGACACAACUAUGUAGCUGCGACUGUGGCCUGGAACGCACAGCACUGAUGGAUUUAAUCUGACUCAGCAAGGCCUGCAGCAUGCUGAUGGACGCAUUAAAUCUCCAAGAAGGAAGAUGUGGGAUUAGUGGACAUUCAAUACAUGCUGUGCAUUGCUUUUAGGUACAUUCAUGAGCUGUAAACAAGAGGAUUAAUAAAAACAAACAUGUCAUUACUGCUUUACAAGUUAAGCAUUUGCCAAAUAGAUUUUGUGUUUUCCUCAUCACAACUCUCAAAGUUCUCCCCAGUGAUUCAGGAUUGAUUGAUUGAUAUCUCUACUUUAACACAUCUGUGCCAAGGUUAUCAAGAAAAACACUGACCAUGCUGGGCAGCAAUGCACCUGGGGGACCAAGGGGAUGCAACAAUGGUCACUGAAGUAAGAGAGAACCCCAGGGCCAUAAUUACUUGGUGAUCUUGGAAACUUUCCAGAAGAAGAUUAUUCUUGUGUAAACAUGUCAGAUCUGUCAAAAGUACACCAGAUCAGCUCCUGAAAUUGUGAAACAUCAGUUACAUUGCUACGUGUUCUAUGACAGUGUAAAGUGCAAAUUUUCAUCCUAGUAGAAGACAAAAACAAAAACUGAGCCCUAGGCAAUGUUAGACAGGAGCCACAGUGUUUUGGGUUGGGAGAAACAGUCUUACAUCACGAGAAAUGACAUUUGGGGGCUAUAGAACAAACAGGCAGCCCAUAGAUGUUUUUAUUGAAAUUGAUUCAUUUAAAAAAAUUGUUGAAUUUUUAUUGAAAAAUACAAAAAGUGAAUUAUUCAGAAACUUGUAAACAUUUAAGUACUAGAGAAAUAGGUGAAGACUAAACCACCACCACCAAGAAGUGCAAACUUACUGAUGUAUGGCAAAACAUCACAAUAUUGUAAAGUAAGUAUCCUCCAAUUAAAGUCAAUAAACAAACUCAAAAAAGAAGUAUAUACUUCCAGUUGCAAAGUAAAUGAGUCUUGGGAUGAAAUACACAGGGUGGGGAAUAUCAUUAAUAAUUACGUAGUAUCUUUGUAUGGUGACAGAUGGUAACUGCAUUUACUGUGGUGAUCGUUUUUGAAAUAUAUAGAAAUUCUGAACACUGUGUUGUGUACUAGGAACUAACAAUGCGUUAUAAUCAUACUUCAAAAACAAAGAAACAAACUCAUAGAAAAAGAUAUCAGAUACGUGGUUACUAGAGGCAGGGGGUGAAAGAGGGAAAAGGUAAUUGGGAUGAAGGUAUUCAGUCAAAAGGUACAAGCUUUUGGUUAUAAAAAAGUACUAGGAAUGUAAUGUACAACAUGAUAAAGAUAAUAAUUAAUCCAGUCAUAAGUUAUAUGUGAAAGUUAGUGAGUAUAAUCCUGAGCUUUUGUCACAAGAAAAAAAAAUGUUUUUCUAUUUCUUUAAUUUUGUAUCUAUAUGAGAUGAUGGUGUUCACUGUGAUAAUCAUUUCAUAAUGUAUGUAAGUCAAAUCAUUAUCCUGUAUACCUUAGGUUUACACACUGCUGUAUGUCAAUU
ensembl:lncRNA